UUGGAGGGCAAGUCUGGUGCCAGCAGCCGCGGUAAUUCCAGCUCCAAUAGCGUAUAUUAAAGUUGUUGCAGUUAAAAAGCUCGUAGUUGAAUUUCGGGAUCAAGGAAUCGGUCAUGCCUCGGUAUGUACUGGUUUUAUUGGUUCUCACCUUCUAAAGAACCAUAAUGUCAUUUAUUUGGUGUUAUGGGGAAUUAGGACUGUUACCUUGAAAAAAUUAGAGUGUUUAAAGCAAGCUUACGCUUGAAUACAUUAGCAUGGAAUAAUGAAAUAGGACAUCCGAUUCUAUUUUGUUGGUUUCUAGGAUCGAUGUAAUGAUUAAUAGGGAUAGUUGGGGGCAUUAGUAUUCAAUUGUCAGAGGUGAAAUUCUUGGAUUUAUUGAAGACUAACUACUGCGAAAGCAUUUGCCAAGGAUGUUUUCAUUAAUCAAGAACGAAAGUUAGGGGAUCGAAGACGAUCAGAUACCGUCGUAGUCUUAACCAUAAACUAUGCCGACUAGGGAUCGGAUGAUGUUUAUUUUUUAGUGACUCAUUCGGCGCCUUACGGGAAAC
rnacentral:rRNA from 1 species